CAGAACGAACGGUGGCGGCGUGGAUAAGACAUGCAAGUCGAACGGGAUCUUACUGGUUGCAAUAUUAGUGAGGUUCAGUGGCGCAAGGGUGCGUAACACGUGGGCAAUCUGCCCGGGGGAGCGGGAUAGCUCGGCGAAAGCCGAAUUAAUACCGCAUAAGACUAUUGGAAGCAUUUCCGAGAUGUCAAAGGUGGCGCAAGCUGCCGCUCCUGGAUGAGCCCGCGGCCUAUCAGCUAGUUGGCGGGGUAACAGCCCACCAAGGCUAUGACGGGUAGCUGGUCUGAGAGGACGACCAGCCACACUGGAACUGAGACACGGUCCAGACACCUACGGGUGGCAGCAGUCGAGAAUUUUUCUCAAUGGGCGCAAGCCUGAAGGAGCGACGCCGCGUGGAGGAUGAAGGUCUCCGGAUUGUAAACUCCUGUCAUUUGGGAACAAAUACCUGAUCUAACUGAUUAGGAACUGAUAGUACCAGAAGAGGAAGAGACGGCUAACUCCGUGCCAGCAGCCGCGGUAAUACAGAGGUCUCAACCGUUGUUCGGAUUCAUUGGGCGUAAAGGGUGCGUAGGCGGUCGCGCAAGUCGGAUGUGAAAUCUUGGGGCUCAACCCUGAAACUGCAUUCGAUACUGCGUGGCUUGAGUACUGGAGAGGAGACUGGAAUUUACGGUGUAGCAGUGAAAUGCGUAGAUACCGUAAGGAAGACCAGUGGCGAAGGCGAGUCUCUGGACAGUUACUGACGCUGAGGCACGAAGGCCAGGGGAGCAAACGGGAUUAGAUACCCCGGUAGUCCUGGCAGUAAACGGUGCACGUUUGGUGUAGGCGGAUUCGACCCCGCCUGUGCCGGAGCUAACGCGUUAAACGUGCCGCCUGGGAAGUACGGUCGCAAGAUUAAAACUCAAAUGAAUUGACGG
rnacentral:rRNA from 1 species